UACAGAGGUCUCAAGCGUUGUUCGGAUUCAUUGGGCGUAAAGGGUGCGUAGGCGGCGCGGUAAGUCGGGUGUGAAAUCUUGGAGCUUAACUCCGAAACUGCAUUCGAUACUGCCGUGCUUGAGGACUGGAGAGGAGACUGGAAUUUACGGUGUAGCGGUGAAAUGCGUAGAUAUCUGGAGGAACACCGGUGGCGAAGGCGGCAUCCUGGACCACGACUGACGCUGAGUGAGCGAAAGCCAGGGGAGCAAACGGG
rnacentral:rRNA from 1 species